rnacentral:rRNA from 1 species
CAGUCGCCACGGGAAUACGUAGGGUGCGAGCGUUAAUCGUAAUUAUUGGGCGUAAAGGGAGCGCAGGCGGACAUAUAAGUCCAUCUUAAAAGUGCGGGGCCCAACCCCGUGAGGGGAUGGAAACUGUAUGCCUUGAGUGCAGGAGAGGAAAGCGGAAUUCCCAGUGUAGCGGUGAAAUGCGUAGAUAUUGGGAGGAACACCAGUGGCGAAGGCGGCUUUCUGGACUGUAACUGACGCUGAGGCUCGAAAGCCAGGGGAGCGAACGGGAUUAGAUACCCCCGUAGUCCCUGUCUCUUAUACA